UCAUAAUGUCGGUAAAAAUAUUUUUGCAAAAGAAAGAUCCUAUUACGCGAAAUUUUAAAAAAUCAGAUAUGAGAAUUAAAUACUUGUUAUAUUGAUAACAGACCAAAGUUAAAAUGCAUAAGUUAUAUGAAAUCUGUUAAAAUAAUUAUAGAUUGUUUCCCAUUGAGUCACUACAAACGACGAGAAAAGGGUGAUAAAAAGCAAAGUUCAAUUACUUUGACGGGCUAAUAGCUAUUUAGUUUUUCCUCAGAAAACAAGUGUACUUUGUUCAGUUGUUAAGAGCGGUAGUUAAUGAACAAAGUAGCUCUAUCUGCUGUAUAAUGUUCUAUUGUAUAUAGUUCAUAUAUACGAGGAAAUUCGAUAUAUGUUUGUAUGCGUACGCGCCUGUGCUUUCUAUACAUAGAAUUUUACGGCUGUGUUAAGACUUUUGUGGUGGUUGUAUAGUUGGCAGGGGGAGGUCUUUAGCCCCCUUCGUGAGGCACACGCCGGUAAUGAGUGUUUAUACUAUAACUACGGCGACACCAAUAACAAGUGCAACAGUAUCAACAACAACGACAACGACGACGACGGGGGUAACAGUGACGACGACGGCUACGUCGACAACAAUAGCGGCGCCGGCGGUUGCCGUGUCGCCUGAAGCUGCACCUGGUUGGAUAGAAUUUUGUGAGAGACACGCCCGCGCUUCAGCUUCUGAUUUCGCCAAGGCUUUUUGUACUUACGUCAGUUUAAAUUUACCCGAAAGCGCUAGAUCAAAUCUUUCUCACCGUGAUUUUUUAAGGAAAUUCGUUGAAAGCUUUUGCGAGCACUUUGAAAGCGAAUAUCUGCGUCGUACAAUUAGAUCACCAUCUUUAUAUGACACCAGACAUACGAUAACUAAUGAUAGGGAUAUUAAUGUUGCAAGUCAAAAUAAUAAUGCUCCUGUACGUAUCUCAUCUCAUGAGGAAUUCAGUGAUUAUUCUGAGCACGAUGGGGAUGCAAUAUCACCAAAACCAAUACAUAAACCCUUUUUCCGUCGUUUAUCUUUUAAAGGGCUUAAAAAAGGUAAAAGCUUCUUUCACAAGCAGCAAAGCGACGAGGUGGAAUUAUCUCAUAGCGAACAUCGCAGAGAUAAACAUUCAAAAGCUAAGCUUUCAAAGAUUGUGGUGGAAUGUAGAAAAGAAGGCAUUGUUAAUUCCUUGAUGGGAGAAAAUAUUGAUGGAACUCAGAAAUGGGAAAAAUCAAGACUUGCCUUAAUAAAAGCAAUUGGUGGAUACAUGUUAGAAUUUUAUUCUCCUCCAAAAGCAGUAAAACCACGUAGUGGUGUGUUUUGUUCUGCGAUAACUGAAGCUAGAGAAACAACUGCACUAGAGAUGCCAGAUCAUGAAAAUACAUUUGUAUUAAAGACACAAAAUAUGGAAUUUGUAAUAGAAGCUCAUGAUUCAAAUGAUAUGAGAUCAUGGUUAGCUACUAUUAAAUAUUGUAUGCGCACAGUACAACAAAGUUUUUUUAAUCCUAGUUGUGGAACAGAUGCUACUGAAGAUUCUUUAGGUCAUGGUUCAUUAGCUAUUAGUAAUGAAGGAGAUAGAUUAAGAACUAACUCUGCAAGUAAAAGUUCUCGAUCUACAGCCCACGAACACGGGGAUGAAGCACCAAGUAACCCACCAGAAAUACCUCCAAGACUUCGUAUGAGAAGUAAUAGUAAUUUAGAAUUAUGUUCAUCACAAGAUAUUGAUCAAAAUGAUGGUGAAUUGGAUUUAUCGCAUAGUUUAAGAGAGUAUCCAUGGUUUCAUGGAACUCUCCCUAGAUCAGAUGCAGCACAGCUUGUUUUACAUAGUGCUGCUAAUGGUCAUGGUGUGUUUCUUGUUAGGCAAAGUGAAACCAGAAAAGGAGAAUUUGUAUUAACUUUCAAUUUCCAAGGCAGAGCAAAGCAUUUACGUAUGACAUUGAACGAUCAAGGGCAGUGUAGAGUUCAACAUCUUUGCUUUCCUGCAAUAUAUGACAUGCUUGAACAUUUUCGUAAAAAUGCUAUACCUCUUGAAUCAGGUGGGACAGCCGACGUAACUUUAACGGAAUUUGUCGUAGCAAAUCAUGCCAUACGACCAGGACACCAUAAUGUAGCUGGAGUGAAUCAACAACAGUUACAAGAAAGAAGACCUCCAGCAGCUCCAGAGCCAAGAGAAGUAAGAGUCAGCAGUGGAAGUCUAACUCCUCUUGAGUGAACGCGAGUGGCCAGCACCCACAGUCUGAAGUCUAAUCUACAGACAGUGAGUAAAUAAAUAAAGUGAUGCACCCAUUUUUCGUGCGGCUGGUGAUAUAUACAUAUACUUAUGGAGAUUUUAUCAGUUUUUUCUUUUAUAAUUCCAUCUAGGUCCAUAUUCGGAUUAUUUUUAAACAUUUAAACAAUACCAAAUUUUUUGGAUCAUUUUUUACUAUUAACACAUUGAUUAUGUAUUGUCAGUGGUUCAAUUAUGUACAUAUUUUCUUAUUUGUCGAAUAGUUACAUUAUGGUCUUAAUAAAUUAUAUCUUUUUGAUAAUGAGUGGUACGCACAUAUGGAGGUUCUAUACGAACACGUACAGAAUCACUGGAGAGACUGGAACAACAAAAUAACAUUACAGAACAACAAAG